GCACCUCGUUUACACCGAGGAGAUAUCUGUGAAAUCCAGAUCAUUUUGA
rnacentral:tRNA from 1 species